rnacentral:rRNA from 1 species
AGCGAACGCUGGCGGCAGGCUUAACACAUGCAAGUCGAGCGGGCAUCUUCGGAUGUCAGCGGCAGACGGGUGCGUAACACGUGGGAACGUACCCUUCGGUUCGGAACAACUCUGGGAAACUGGAGCUAAUACCGGAUACGCCCUUAUGGGGAAAGGUUUACUGCCGAAGGAUCGGCCCGCGUCUGAUUAGCUAGUUGGUGGGGUAACGGCCUACCAAGGCGACGAUCAGUAGCUGGUCUGAGAGGAUGAUCAGCCACACUGGGAAUGAGACACGGCCCAGACUCCUACGGGAAGAAGCGGUGGGGAAUAUUGGACAAUGGGCGCAAGCCUGAUCCAGCCAUGCCGGGUGAGUGAUGAAGGCCUUAGGGUUGUAAAGCUCUUUUGUCCGGGACGAUAAUGACGGUACCGGAAGAAUAAGCCCCGGCUAACUUCGUG